rnacentral:rRNA from 1 species
AAGGCAUCUUAUUAAUAUUAAAGCUUCGGCACUUGAUGAUGGGUGUGCGGCUGAUUAGAUAGUUGGCGGGUAACGGCCCACCAAGUCUACGAUCAGUAGCUGAUGUGAGAGCAUGAUCAGCCACACGGGCACUGAGACACGGGCCCGACUCCUACGGGAGGCAGCAGUAAGGAAUAUUGGACAAUGGACGAAAGUCUGAUCCAGCCAUGCCGCGUGAAGGAUUAAGGUCCUCUGGAUUGUAAACUUCUUUUAUAUGGGACGAAAAAAGGGCAUUCUUGUUCACUUGACGGUACCAUAUGAAUAAGCACCGGCUAACUCCGUG